rnacentral:lncRNA from 1 species
GGAUACUUAGGCGCCGCAAGGCUACGAAGAUAAACCUCUACGGAGAGGAAUCCGACCGUACGAUUCCUUAUAGUCUUCAGUAACCUUUUAUUUAUAUUAUUUUUAUAAAUAUCGUAAAAUAGAUACGACACUUGAUAGCUUAAAACAACACUGAGAUACUGCUCCAAAAAGAGUAGUACCAAGUGACACUAUUUAUAAAAGUUCACAUAAUAGAUAAAAUAUUCUUAUAUAUUAUUUGAGUUAAACAGUAAUAUUUGUUAUAUCAAGAAUUGCU